CCUGUUUUCAAACUGUCUCGGAUGGUUGCUCGUGCGUCCUCCUUGCUGACCUUGGAAUAGACCUGUUCAAAGUGCCUUAUGAAGGAAGGGAGUAGAAAAUCAGAGAAGAUCCUAUCCAUGGACAUGACUGGUUGGAGCAGAAAAUGAUCUUAUUCUUCAAGAAUCCAGGCCAACAGCCCAAACUCCUCAUCAACAUUAGGCAGAAUCCAACUUAAGCAUCAGAACACUUUGAUACCGACUCUUCACAAGGAACAGACAAUAACAGAAUGAGAUAUACUGCUUAAUAAUGGCAACUUACAGAGGAAAAUAAGCUGCUGUGUCAGCAGCUAUCAGGAAACAAAAGCAGAGCAACUUGGAAAUGAAUUAGCAAAUUAAGUUACAGGACAGGUCAGUUUAAAUGGAGUGGCAGACAUUUAAGAACAUAUUUCAGAAUAAAGCAGAUACAUUCCAACAAGAAAAAUUCCAAGAAGAGGAUUCAUCAUCUUUUUUCUUUACUCAUUAACAGGAUAAGGAUGUCGCUGGUUAGGCAGCUUUUAUUGCCCAUCCCUAAUUGCCUAGAGGGCAAUUAAGAGUCAACCACAUUGCUAUGGAUCUGGAGUCACAAGUAGUCCAUUCCAGGGAAGGAUGGCAGUUUCUUUCCCUAAAGGGCAUUAGUGAACGAGAUGGGAUUUUCCAACAAUCGACAAUGGAUUCAUGGUCAUCAUUUGAUUCUUAAUUCCAGAUAUUUAUUUGAAUUCAAAUUCUACCAUCUGCCAUGGAUUUGAACCUGGGUCCCCGGAAUGUUAUGUGGGUGUCUGGAUUAGCAGUCCAGCGAUAAUACCACUAGGCCAUCGCCUCCCCACGGUGGUUAACUAGAAAAGUUAAACAUAGUAUCAAACAUAAAGAAUAAGGAUAUAAAUGUGCAAAGGUGGGUGGCACAUCAGAAGACUAGACAGAAUUUUUUAAAAAGCACACAAUAACUAAAAAAGUAAUAACAAGAAAAAAAAGUACAAGGGAAAUCUAGCUAGAAAUAUAAAAAUAGAUAAUAAGAAUUUCUAUUGAUAUUUAAAAAGAGUUAACAAAGCAUUGGUCUUAUAGGAAGUUAGUCUGGGGGUUUUUAUCAUGGAAAAUAAGGAGAUCUCUGGUACAUUGCAUCAGCCUUCACCACAGAGAAUACAAGUAACAUUCCAGAAAUAGCUGUGCUGUAAAUCAGAAACGGGAAUGCAAAAUCAAACUACAAUUAACAAGCAAGUGGCACAAAGCAGAUCGUUGGGGGUAAAGGCUGACAAGUAUCCAGGUCCUGAGAAACUUCAUCCUAGGGUCCAUCUUAAAAGAAGUGGCUAGCAAGAUAUUUGAUUUAAUUUUCCAAAGUUCCCUCAUUUUGGGGAAGGCUUCACUCAUUUGGGAGAUAGCACAUAUAACUCCUUUAUGCAAAAAAGGAGGCAGACAGAAAGCAGGAAACUACAGGCCAGGUAACUUAACAUCCACCAUUUGGAAAAUGCUGGAAGCUAUUAUCAAAAACAUUGCAAUAAAAUAAUUUGGAAAAAUUCAA